rnacentral:sRNA from 1 species
CAUGCCCCUUAUACGCUGGGCUACACACGUGCUACAAUGGGUAGUACAGAGAGUUGCAAAGCCGUGAGGUGGAGCUAAUCUCAGAAAACUAUUCUUAGUUCGGAUUGUACUCUGCAACUCGAGUACAUGAAGUUGGAAUCGCUAGUAAUCGCGAAUCAGCAAUGUCGCGGUGAAUACGUUCUCGGGUCUUGUACACACCGCCCGUCACACCACGAGAGUUGGUUGCACCUGAAGUAGCAGGCCUAACCGUAAGGAGGGAUGCUCCGAGGGUGUGAUUAGCGAUUGGGGUGAAGUCGUAACAAGGUAUCCGUACGGGAACGUGCGGAUGGAUCACCUCCUUUCUAAGGAGUAUAAGUCUUUCUCUAUUCUAUUGGUAAUGUUCUUACAUUACUUCUGAACAUUGGAAACUAUAUAGUAGAACAAACAGGAAAAAAAUUAACUCUAACAAUUUCUUAGAGUUAGCUGUCAAAAAAUAGGUUAAAAUAAUUAAGGGCACACAAAGGAUGCCUAGGUAGUAAGAGCCGAUGAAGGACGUGGUAAGCUGCGAUAAGCCUAG